CUUCAGCGACCCCAACCACAGCGGCUCCACCCGCCCCUGCCCGUAGGUGGCGAGCAGUGCCUGCGCCUC
rnacentral:antisense_RNA from 1 species